GCUCCAGUAGCUCAGUUAUGGUUAGAGCGCGUCCUUGGUAAGGACGAGGUCGGGAGUUCGAGUCUCCCCUGGGGCU
rnacentral:tRNA from 1 species